UAGGGAAUCUUCCACAAUGGGCGCAAGCCUGAUGGAGCAACACCGCGUGAGUGAAGAAGGGUUUCGGCUCGUAAAGCUCUGUUGUUAAAGAAGAACACGUAUGAGAGUGGAAAGUUCACACAGUGACGGUAACUUACCAGAAAGGGACGGCUAACUACGUGCCAA
rnacentral:rRNA from 1 species